rnacentral:rRNA from 2 species
UGGGGAAUAUUGGACAAUGGGCGCAAGCCUGAUCCAGCCAUGCCGCGUGAGUGAUGAAGGCCCUAGGGUUGUAAAGCUCUUUCACCGGUGAAGAUAAUGACGGUAACCGGAGAAGAAGCCCCGGCUAACUUCGUGCCAGCAGCCGCGGUAAUACGAAGGGGGGUAGCGUUGUUCGGAUUUACUGGGCGUAAAGCGCACGUAGGCGGAUUGGUCAGUUAGGGGUGAAAUCCCAGAGCUCAACUCUGGAACUGCCUUUAAUACUGCCAAUCUUGAGUAUGGUAGAGGUGAGUGGAAUUGCGAGUGUAGAGGUGAAAUUCGUAGAUAUUCACAGGAACACCAGUGGCGAAGGCGGCUCACUGGACCAUUACUGACGCUGAGGUGCGAAAGCGUGGGGAGCAAACAGG